UCUCUGAUAGUAUAUCGGUUAGUACACGCGCCUGUCAUCCAUAUAUCCGAUUCUUCGCGCGAAAGCUGGGUUCGACUCCCAGUCAGAGAG